CUGCUCAAUGAAAAUAUUUUAAAUAGCUGCAGUAUUAAUAACUGUACAAAGGUAGCAUAAUAAUUUGUUUUUUAAUUAAAAACUAGUAUGAAAGAUUCAAUGAAAUAUAAACUAUUUCAAUUAAAAUUAUUAAAUUUAUUAUUUAAGUAAAAAAACUUAAAUAAAUUUAAUAGACGAUAAGACCCUAUAGAAUUUUAUUAAUUUUAUUAUAUAAUAAAUAAUGUAAUUAAAUAUAAUUUAAUUAAUUUUAUUGGGGUAAUAUAAAAAUUUAAUAAACUUUUUAAUUAAAAACAAUAAUUAAUGAAAAUAAAAUCUUAAUAUUUAAAUUAAAAAAAUUAAUUACCUUAGGGAUAACAGCAUAAUUUUUUUUUAAAGAUCAAAUUAAUAAAAAAGAUUAUGACCUCGAUGUUGAAUUAAGAUAAAAUUUAAAUGAAAAAAUUUAAAAAUUUAAGUCUGUUCGACU
rnacentral:rRNA from 1 species